UUCUAAGGGAUACAGUGCGUGGU
rnacentral:piRNA from 1 species